rnacentral:misc_RNA from 1 species
UCUCCGUUGGUGAACCAGCGGAGGGAUCAUUACAGGACUCGCAAGACUCCUUCACCCUGUGAACCUCACUACAAGCACGUUGCUUCGGCGGGUGUCCCGGCGGGGGUUUUCCCUCGCCGGGGCGCACAGCCCGCCGGCAGCCUACUAUACUCUGUCUCUUUGCGUUGGCAUCUCGAGAAAAAACAAGCAAGUUAAAACUUUCAACAACGGAUCUCUUGGUUCUG